UACAGAGGUCUCAAGCGUUGUUCGGAUUCAUUGGGCGUAAAGGGUGCGUAGGUGGCUUGGUAAGUCGGAUGUGAAAUCCCGGGGCUCAACCCCGGAACUGCAUUCGAUACUGCUGAGCUAGAGUACUGGAGAGGAGAUUGGAAUUUACGGUGUAGCAGUGAAAUGCGUAGAUAUCUGGAGGAACACCGGUGGCGAAGGCGGCGUUCUGGACUGUAACUGACACUGAGGAACGAAAGCUAGGGGAGCAAACGGG
rnacentral:rRNA from 1 species